GGAGUGGGAUCAGCUGUUUACAGCAGUCGACAAUGAUAAACGGAUCAAUCAACAAACCUACAUUUUAUACUAAUAUAUUUUAACGUUUUCCAAGUAGGCUAUCGAUCAGAUAAAAUUAACUGCCGGACUGAUUGAUCGCUACAAAAUAUUAAAAGUUUUAUCCCUUUUCACCAGCCAACAUGCUGAGGAUUCAUUAAAAUCAGUUAUAAGGAACGAAAACGUAGGCGAAAAAUACUGGAGCAAAAUGCAGGAUUACGAGCCUUGCCCGCGUUUCGCUCAUCAGCUGGUCUACAAUUACGUGAAAAAAGUUCACUAUUUGUUCGGUGGGAAUCCAGGUCGUUCUUGCUUACCGAAAUUACGUUCGACUACUUUUGGCAACUCCGCUCUGCCGACCAUCCCGCAAACAAAUAUUACGAAAAUGCAAAUUAAUCAUACGAAAAUAUAAGUUCGAAAAACUCGCCAUGACGGACAGCAUCGAGGCUCUCUAGUAUCUUCAAAAUGAAGUUUCCGAUAUCAUUGAUAACGAUAACGAGGAGCAAACCAAAGAGUUUCAACUACUGGCAUCCGUCACAUUCCGGGAACAGGAGGAAAAAACGCAAGAAAACUUCAUGUCCGUCGAACCGAAUUGUAUGGCAAGUUGACAGAAUUUUUUUCCGAAUUGCUCACGCAGCCUCGGGACAAUUUAAUUGAUUUAUUGCCAUUAUGAUGAACGAGUGAAACCGGGUAAUCGACAACUCAUUGGCGAUUGACAAUGAUCAAUUGAAUUUGGAGUAGAGGAGAUUAGUGAGCGGUUCAAAAGGAGCAGUCACUGCGUGGCUCAAGAAUGUCCAAAAUUAUUGCGCAAAGGUCUUCUGGAGUUGUUCCCUGGCUGUGUCGAAGUGGCCUCACCGCAGUUUACCAUUAUAACUGUUGAUCAAAAAUUAAAUGAUCAAAGUCACCUGUGGAGCAGGAAAAUGAAAACUGAGAAGCUGGCUAUAGUCUUACAUAAAUAUUCUUGUGAUUGGUGAUUCAUCAUUGGCGAAAUUUCAGCUGGAUUUUGCACUGUUUCAAGAGCUAUAGCAACAACCGGGCGAGGUUCGUUCGGGGCUGGUUUUAACAGCGGCUGGUACAUCCGAUCAAGAAGCUGGAGAACGUAGGUUGGAAGCUGGUGCUAUGGUUUUUAUGACUGCUGUAACUGCCAGCCAUUGAAUUACGAAGAUGCACAAUCCGAAGUUCAGCCUCCAUCCUUCUACAAGGACGCUUCAUCGUAAAUUCAAGCUGGAAAAUAAUUUUAGAGUUGAGAUAUAUGAUAGUGAAUUUAUUCGGAGUGACGCUGAAGAGUAGAAUUAUGCAGUACUUCCUAAGGUAUUGAAAGCACAAUUUUAUUGAGACGCAAGACGCUUGCUUAAAAAUUUGAUGUUCGCUGCACAGACUGGGCAUCUCUGGGAACAAUCAGUACUUGGGAGGAUGUUGUUGGUUAUCCAAUCGUUAACGUGAAAUCCGUACUCUGUUUUCAUCAAGGAAUGAAUGCAUUGAUGAGGAAUUCAUACAGAACUUUUUUAAAGAAACUUGUUGAAUAUAACCUCAAAAAUUGAUAUUCCAUUACUGAAUGUAUCGCAGUAAAAUACUUCCGAGAAAUUACAUCACACCUGUCAGCUUAGUCAAAGAUGAGUCUGAGUUCUUUGGCUUAGUGUUGUAUAGGCUAAAUAUUCUCGACGAAGCGCUGAAAACAUCUGACAAUUCGUACAAACUCAUCAAAUCCGAUACGAGCCUCUGCGUGAUCUGGAUGACAUAGAGCUGGCGUCAAUCCAAAUUGGGAAUUUAUUACCAAGGAGUGCAGGUCGUGGAUGGUUAGAUGCAACCAAAACAGCAUAUGUCGAAUGUCGUUCUCCAUCUGUCAGUGGUGACAAUGAGUUGCCAACCGAAUUCGCAGUACAGGAAAUUAGUGAGUGGUUCAAAAGAAGCAGUCACUGCGUGUCACUUCAAAAGAAUGUCCAACAUUGUAGCGCGAAGGUCCCCUGGAGUUGUUCCCUGGCUGUGUAGAAGUGGCCUCACCGCAGUUUACCAUUAUAACUGUUGGUAAAAAAUUAAAUUCUCAAAGUCAUCCAUGGAGCAGGGAAAUGGAAAUUGAGAAGCUGGCUAUAUUUUUUGUUCUGACAGCACCUGACACCUGCACGCAGUCUAAGAUGGGCGGUUAUUGGGCAGAUUUCAUAAAUAGCGGACAACCCUAUCUUAAUCUCCUCAAAAUUAGUACCUCAUACAAAACUGAUCAACGGUUCCGCUGCUUGGGCUUCAAAAUAGAGCAAAAGAAUCAUUAUCAAAUAAUAUCCAUUAAUAAUGAUCCGAGAGAGUUUCCCGGAAGUAUCUAUACAACCGUUUCUUCGAAUAUCGAGUUCCUCAAAGAAAGCCGCCUUAACGAUCAUCUAGGUCAGUCUCGUACCCUUUUGAAGAGAAUGUGAUACGAACCUGAUAGUUAGUCAACUAAAAUACAAGAAAUAUCAAGAGUUUACUUUAAUGGGCUCCGAGUAAUCAGGGGAUAAAAAUCAAGUAACGAUUCUUGCUGAAGUCUUGUGACAGCUGGAAAACGCAACGAGAUUCAUUGAACGGAAGUCCUGGUCAAUUUGAUGAUUUAGGUGUACCGUUUGUUUGCAGUAUAACUCCUCACUUAAAGAAUUUUAAUCAUACUCAGGAUAUCGUUGAUGCUAUUAUGAAACGGAAAGUAACUUUCGAUACAUUGAAGCUCGUUUGUGCGCUCAUCUCGACACUGUGGAUACCCCUUCCGAUGAUGGAAAGAAGUCAAAAGAGAUUUGAGAGGCAUCAAGGGUGACUUGAAAAGGCCGUUUGAAAAAGCAUGGAAAGGUUACGAUACCAAGUACGCAGAAAUGGAAAAGGAAUAGAAGCAACACCAAGUACCCAGAGGGUGACCUCAUCCGCUCGGAAGUUACACCCGCUGAAAUUGCUGACUAAAUGGAAAAAUUCGUUCGCAAAUGUCAAACGAUGGCCACACGAGAUUGACUAAAACUGCAAUAGAGUCAAUAGGGUUCUCGCGGAUAACAAAAAUGAUGCUCCUAACCAGAAAGUUGUACUGACCAAAGAUAUUGAACGUUUUCCCACCUAAAUGGAUAUUUAACUCGGUUAAAUAUCCAUGAGACCUCGGUUAAAGGCAUCGUCAAUGUUGAAGAGAAUGUUUGCUGAUUCCUCGGGAGAACGACAAAAAAAAAGGAUAAAUUUAUACCAAAUCCGCGAGAUUUGGCAAAGCGCUUCAAUUGGUCGAUGAAAUAAUUUAAUGGCAUCCUAGAUGCGAUCCAGGGCGAUUCGACGACGACGUCACUAGUAGCGGCAAAGUUAUCGGCAACUCCAAUGGCAAUUCGCAUGGGAACCUCGAGUGAUUGGACCGGUGGCUUAACGAGAUCCAAUCCAAAACAUAAUGCAAAAACCGUGAUGACGGGGAAAAGCGAAACUCGAGGACGAGGGAAUUGUUAAAACGGAGGUCUGAGUGAGAGAAGAUAAUACACGGAGACAACUUCAAAGACGGGCCAACGAACCCCAUUAUCGAGUGGAAGGACAGAGAGGAAAAACACGAUACAAAUAUGCGAAGCACUGUGAUACAUUACGAAAAAUGUAUUUACCAACGAGAAAGUCACCGAAAAUAAUACCAACGUAUAUACUCCAAUUGAUGCGCAAAUGAUAGACGCGUCAGUGGAGGAAACUUGAGAUCGACAACCUUCUUUACUCUCCAUUCUAUGAAUAUGGAUUUAUCUGUAUUUGUUAAUAAACUUGUAAUUCAUCGUAUCCAUAUACAUAUUCGAUAUAUACAAAUUCAUAACACCAUUUCCUUUCUUCUUUCGUUUGAUCUUUCAGCGAAAACGCAUUUAAAAAACGAAUGCGAAUAUGAAUUUGUCUGUAUUUGUUAAUAAACUUGUAAUUCAUCGUAUCCAUAUACAUAUUCGAUAUAUACAAAUUCGUAACACCAUUUCCUUUCUUCUUUCGUUUGAUCUUUCAGCGAAAACGCAUUUAAAAAACAAAUGCGAAUAUGGAUUUGUCUGUAUUUGUUAAUAAACUUGUAAUUCAUCGUA